GGAGAGUUGCGAGAGUGGUCUAUCCGGGCUGCCUGCUAAGCAGUUGUAGCGAAAGCUACCGUGGGUUCGAAUCCCACACUCUCCG
rnacentral:tRNA from 2 species